rnacentral:rRNA from 1 species
UACAGAGGUCUCAAGCGUUGUUCGGAUUCAUUGGGCGUAAAGGGUGCGUAGGCGGCGCGGUAAGUCGGGUGUGAAAUCCUGGAGCUUAACUCCGAAACUGCAUUCGAUACUGCCGUGCUUGAGGACUGGAGAGGAGACUGGAAUUUACGGUGUAGCGGUGAAAUGCGUAGAUAUCGUAAGGAAGACCAGUGGCGAAGGCGGGUCUCUGGACAGUUCCUGACGCUGAGGCACGAAGGUCAGGGGAGCAAACGGG